UACGGGGGGGGCAAGCGUUGUUCGGAAUUACUGGGCGUAAAGGGCUCGUAGGUGGCCAACUAAGUCAGACGUGAAAUCCCUCGGCUUAACCGGGGAACUGCGUCUGAUACUGGAUGGCUUGAGUGUGGGAGAGGGAUGCGGAAUUCCAGGUGUAGCGGUGAAAUGCGUGGAUAUCUGGAGGAACACCGGUGGCGAAGGCGGCAUCCUGGACCAUUACUGACACUGAAUAGCGAAAGCCAGGGGAGCAAACGGG
rnacentral:rRNA from 1 species